rnacentral:lncRNA from 1 species
UUCAUAUUCCAGUACUUUGGGAUUUUCUUUUAGUCUAUUUUAUCAUACUUUAGUUCUGUGGCCACUAUAUACUGUAUAAUUACAUUCAAUUUGAGCCAAACAACAACACUUAGACCUAGUACAGUCAUCAUAACAUAGAUUCUUGUGGCCUACUAUUUCAAAAUCGUAUUCAUUUUUACUCUACACUUUUGUAGGCAGUAUUUAUAAAGAUUUUCUGUUGCAGGCAGGGGAGACAGAAGCAGGAACCUCCGUCACACUGCAUCAGAACUCUAACUCAGACAACGCUGUCAGCGUCUUACUCUGUGUCUCCUCCGCUGGGCCGCCAUGAAUCAUGGAAAUUGAUUAUGCUGUCACGUCCCAAAUCCCGCUGCCCAGAGCUUGACCGCACUUGUGUGUGACUAUCCACGGUCAAGCCUGCUUAGGAGCUGCGCAGUCAGCGACCGUGGAGAGGGGCCAGCCCUUGAGGACCAACCUCCAGGGUCAGCAGGCCCGAGAGCGUGGAGAAUGGAAGAAGAUCGUUCACGUCGACUGCAGGGAAUGAAGACGUGCUGCUUCACAUACCAGAGCCAAACGCUUCUCUUGUUUCCUCUCUCUCUCUAACUCCACUUGGCCUCUCCGUUUCCUUGUCGCUCGGUGACAUCCAUCUUAAUCAGGUGCUGACGACAUCAUCUUUGAGAACGGAUUCCGAGACUCCAUGGAGACCAGACAAUUUUCUUUUUUAUUAUUUAUUUAGAAACAUUCUUGUGGUUCAGUUGACUGACCACUAUAUUUCUAGUUAAUUCUAAAAUAUAUCUGAGACUAAUCUUUUUUUUUUUUUUUUUUAAGUAAAACAUUCUUGUGGUCAGUUGAUGACCACAUAUUUCAGUUAUUCUAAAAUAUAUCUGCAGAAGAUAAAAAUGAGAACAUGAAGAAAUGAGACCCUUGAAAACACUUGAGACAUUUUUCAAGAUCUUCUUUUUCUUCUGCAGAAGAAAGCAAGUCAUACAUGUUUGGAAUGGCAUUAAGGUGAGUAAACGAUGUCAAAUGUUUCAUUUUUUUAAGAUCAUACAUGAAAGCAUGAUGCCUAAAAAUAAGUUUUAUUACAGGAAAUAAACUUGCGUUGAAUUAGUUUGACC